CUCUUGAACGCCUCACAAAGUCCUCCGUUAGACAGACCAUUCAUUACCUAACAGCAACACAGCCGCAACGCAGCCAACAUGUCAGAGAAGAAACAGACCGUGGACCUCGGUUUACUGGAGGAAGACGAUGAGUUUGAAGAAUUCCCCGCUGAAGAUUGGACGGGGCUGGAUGAAGAUGAAGACGCUCAUGUCUGGGAAGACAACUGGGAUGAUGACAAUGUAGAGGAUGAUUUCUCAAAUCAACUAAGAGCAGAGCUGGAAAAACAUGGUUACAAGAUGGAGACGUCGUAGCAGCUGACAUGACCCUUCAGUGUUCGUGACAUUGGAUAUGGACUUUUAAUAUUUGAAUAAUAUUGGCUGACCACACACCACGGCCAGAGAUCUGAGGAUGUUCAUUUGUUUCCCUUUUUUUUUUGUAAGAAAUAUUGAUGCAGUAAAGUGUUUGGAGAAAACC